rfam:Microgenomates (Woesebacteria) bacterium GW2011_GWB1_45_5 TX13_C0036, whole genome shotgun sequence.
GCCGACGUGGCUCAGUGGCAGAGCGAACCCUUGGUAAGGGUUAGGUCGUGGGUUCGAUUCCCACCGUCGGCU